rnacentral:rRNA from 1 species
UACGUAGGGUGCGAGCGUUUGUCCGGAAUUAUUGGGCGUAAAGAGCUCGUAGGCGGUUUGUCGCGUCGGCUGUGAAAACCCGGGGCUCAACCCCGGGCCUGCAGUCGAUACGGGCAAACUAGAGUGUGGUAGGGGAGACUGGAAUUCCUGGUGUAGCGGUGAAAUGCGCAGAUAUCAGGAGGAACACCGGUGGCGAAGGCGGGUCUCUGGGCCAUAACUGACGCUGAGGAGCGAAAGCGUGGGGAGCGAACAGG